rnacentral:rRNA from 1 species
AAAUUGAAGAGUUUGAUCAUGGCUCAGAUUGAACGCUGGCGGCAGGCCUAACACAUGCAAGUCGAACGGUAACAGGAAGCAGCUUGCUGCUUUGCUGACGAGUGGCGGACGGGUGAGUAAUGUCUGGGAAACUGCCUGAUGGAGGGGGAUAACUACUGGAAACGGUGGCUAAUACCGCAUAACGUCGCAAGACCAAAGAGGGGGACCUUCGGGCCUCUUGCCAUCAGAUGUGCCCAGAUGGGAUUAGCUUGUUGGUGAGGUAACGGCUCACCAAGGCGACGAUCCCUAGCUGGUCUGAGAGGAUGACCAGCCACACUGGAACUGAGACACGGUCCAGACUCCUACGGAGGCAGCAGGAAUAUUGCACAAUGGGCGCAAGCCUGAUGCAGCCAUGCCGCGUGUAUGAAGAAGGCCUUCGGGUUGUAAAGUACUUUCAGCGGGGAGGAAGGUGUUGUGGUUAAUAACCACAGCAAUUGACGUUACCCGCAGAAGAAGCACCGGCUAACUCCGUGCCAGCAGCCGCGGUAAUACGGAGGGUGCAAGCGUUAAUCGGAAUUACUGGGCGUAAAGCGCACGCAGGCGGUCUGUCAAGUCGGAUGAAAUCCCGGCUCAACUCGGAACUGCAUUCGAAACUGGCAGGCUUGAGUCUUGUAGAGGGGGGUAGAAUUCCAGGUGUAGCGGUGAAAUGCGUAGAGAUCUGGAGGAAUACCGGUGGCGAAGGCGGCCCCCUGGACAAAGACUGACGCUCAGGUGCGAAAGCGUGGGGAGCAAACAGGAUUAGAUACCCUGGUAGUCCACGCCGUAAACGAUGUCUACUUGGAGGUUGUGCCCUUGAGGCGUGGCUUCCGGAGCUAACGCGUUAAGUAGACCGCCUGGGGAGUACGGCCGCAAGGUUAAAACUCAAAUGAAUUGACGGGGGCCCGCACAAGCGGUGGAGCAUGGUUUAAUUCGAUGCAACGCGAAGAACCUUACGUCUUGACAUCCACAGAACUUUCCAGAGAUGGACUGGUGCCUUCGGGAACUGUGAGACAGGUGCUGCAUGGCUGUCGUCAGCUCGUGUUGUGAAAUGUUGGGUUAAGUCCCGCAACGAGCGCAACCCUUAUCCUUUGUUGCCAGCGAUUAGGUCGGGAACUCAAAGGAGACUGCCAGUGAUAAACUGGAGGAAGGUGGGGAUGACGUCAAGUCAUCAUGGCCCGACCGACACGUGCUACAAUGGCGCAUACAAAGAGAAGCGACCUCGCGAGAGCAAGCGGACCUCAUAAAGUGCGUCGUAGUCCGGAUUGGAGUCUGCAACUCGACUCCAUGAAGUCGGAAUCGCUAGUAAUCGUGGAUCAGAAUGCCACGGUGAAUACGUUCCCGGGCCUUGUACACACCGCCCGUCACACCAUGGGAGUGGGUUGCAAAAGAAGUAGGUAGCUUAACCUUCGGGAGGGCGCUUACCACUUUGUGAUUCAUGACUGGGGUGAAGUCGUAACAAGGUAACCGUAGGAACCUGCGGUUGGAUCACCUUACCUUAAAGAA